UACGAAGGGGGCUAGCGUUGCUCGGAAUUACUGGGCGUAAAGCGCACGUAGGCGGAUUGUUAAGUCGGGGGUGAAAUCCUGGAGCUCAACUCCAGAACUGCCUUCGAUACUGGCGAUCUCGAGUCCGGGAGAGGUGAGUGGAACUGCGAGUGUAGAGGUGGAAUUCGUAGAUAUUCGCAAGAACACCAGUGGCGAAGGCGGCUCACUGGCCCGGUACUGACGCUGAGGUGCGAAAGCG
rnacentral:rRNA from 1 species